AUUUAUUUAGUAUAUAAGUACUAUUGACUUCCAAUCAAUCAGAUUGAUAAUCAUCAAAAUAAAUA
rnacentral:tRNA from 1 species